rnacentral:lncRNA from 1 species
AGCCUGAAGGUAUUGAAAAAGAAUCAACCCAAAGUUUCCUUAUCUGCCCAAAAGGUACCAAAGCCUCAAAGCAAAUAACUCUGGAAUUGCCAAACGAUGUAGUGGAAGGAUCAGCCAGAUCUUUUGUCACUUUUGUGGGAGACAUUCUGGGAGUCGCAAUGCAGAAUCUAGAGAGCCUUCUCCAGACACCCUAUGGCUGCGGUGAACAGAACAUUGCCCAGCUGGCAGCUGACAUUUAUAUACUUGACUACCUCAACGCUACCAAACAGCUGACAGAAGAGGUCAGAUCCAAGGCUCUUCUU